rnacentral:rRNA from 1 species
GCUGUAGCACAGGUGCUGCAUGGCUGUCGUCAGCUCGUGUCGUGAGAUGUUGGGUUAAGUCCCGCAACGAGCGCAACCCUUGUCAUUAGUUGCCAUCAUUAAGUUGGGCACUCUAAUGAGACUGCCGGUGACAAACCGGAGGAAGGUGGGGAUGACGUCAAGUCCUCAUGGCCCUUAUGACCAGGGCUUCACACGUCAUACAAUGGUCGGUACAGAGGGUAGCCAAGCCGCGAGGUGGAGCCAAUCCCAGAAAACCGAUCGUAGUCCGGAUUGCACUCUGCAACUCGAGUGCAUGAAGUCGGAAUCGCUAGUAAUCGCAGGUCAGCAUACUGCGGUGAAUACGUUCCCGGGUCUUGUACACACCGCCCGUCACACCAUGGGAGUGGGGGAUACCAGAAGUAGAUAGGGUAACCGCAAGGAGCCCGUUUACCACGGUAUGUUUCAUGACUGGGGUGAAGUCGUAACAAGGUAGCCGUAGGGGAACCUGCGGCUGGAUCACCUCCUUU